rnacentral:snRNA from 1 species
GGAUGUGAGGGCGAUCUGGCUGCGACAUCUGUCACCCCAUUGAUCGCCAGGGUUGAUACGGCUGAUCUGGCUGGCUAGGCGGGUGUCCCCUUCCUCCCUCACCACUCCAUGUGCGUCCCUCCUGAAGCUGCGCGCUUGGUCGAAGAGGACGACCUUCCCCGAUAGAGGAGAGGACCGUUCUUCGGUCAAGGGUAUACGAGUAGCUGCGCUCCCCUGCUAGAACCUCCAAACAAGCUCUCAAAAGUGAUUAUUCAUUGAUGGAUUGUCUAGGACUGGUCGAAGUAAAUUAAAAUACUAAUCAUAACUAAUCAUACUAAUACUUAUU